UCGGUGUGGUGCCAGUGCUCGCAAUGACUGCCUAUACUGUAGAGGGUAUUUCGCAGGCAUUGCGCAGAAAAGGCAUCACACUUCGGUGUGAUGCCAGUGCUCGCAAUGACUGGCAUAUAAUGGGGUACUUAGCAGGCAUUGCGCAGAAAAGGCAUCACAUUUCGGUGUGGUGCCAGUGCUCGCAAUGACUGCCUAUACAGUAGAGGGUGCUUCGCAGGCAUUGCGCAGAAAAGGCAUCACAUUUCGGUGUGGUGCCAGUGCUCGCAAUGACUGCCUAUACAGUAGAGGGUGCUUCGCAGGCAUUGCGCAGAAAAGGCAUCACGCUUCGGUGUGGUGCCAGUGCUCGCAAUGAUUGAAUACUCUCCUCACUGAAAACGCGGCAGUAUUCUCGACGAUCACCGGCCCCAGCACAGUCACCGAACACAUAAUUCGCCUUAAACACGACCGGCCAUUAAAGCAGAGGUAUUAUCCACGCAACCCAGCGAUGCAAGAAGUAAUCAAUCAAGAGGUGAACGAAUUGAUUGCAACCGGCCGCAUCGAAGCACGUUCUCAUAGCACGUUCACAUAUAAGCAGGUUAUGGUUAACAAAAAUUAACCUCGAAGCUAACCUUGUUGCGUUCACAUAUACACUCAAUAAAUAUCUAGCUGCAUUAAAUUCCUGUAGCCGAGAAUAUAAAGUUGCUAUCCAACAAAGUGAGCAGGAAUUACGGAUACGAAGAGCUCGAGUAAUAUCGAUUUAUUAUGAAAUAUUAAUGUUGACAACAAUACCUCUUUGUAAGGAAAUAAACCCAAGAAGUAUUUGGGCAUACAAGCGAUAUGGGAACUUCUGGGAAAAGGAUGUUCCAUCAAUGAACGACCGCGUUUUUAAGGAAACCUUUCGGAUGAGCAGGGCAACCUUUGAAAUAUUGUGUGAAUAUGUCAAAGGUAUUACCAAACAGGAUUCAUGCUAUAGGAAGUGCAUCCCAUUGCAGAAAAUGGCAGCUGUUGCCGUCUACACAUUAAAAUCUUCGGCGGAGUAUGAAACUGUUGCACGACUAUUCGGUGUUUCGAAAGCAAUCGUCAGCGAAAUAUUUCUUGCUUUUUGCCAAGAAGUGUGGCAGUCAUUGCGUCCCAUUUAUUUGACAGAACAAUUAAGGAACAGUGAAAACGUGGAUGAGUGUGUUCAUGGGUUUGAGAAGCUUGGCUUUCCGCAAUGUCUUGGUGCCAUAGACGGUUGCCACAUUAAAGUUCGGCCAAGGAUUGGAUUGCACGGCCUAUUACAAUUCUAAGGGGUACUCCACAGUUUUAUUUGCCCUUGUAGAUUAUAGAUAUCGCUUCCUCUACAUUAAUGUUGGCUGCCCAGGUCGAUGCAAUGACUCAAAAAUUUUUCAAUGUAGCAAACUAAAUACUGCAUUGAAGGACCCAAUCUUCACUGCGAAAAGCAAAACUAUUAAUGGCGUGUAUGUUCCUGUGGGCGUUAUGGGUGAUUCGGCUUUCCGAUUUGCCAACAAUCUAAUGAAGCCCUAUCCAUUCCAAGUACAUCCUCCAGAGCAUGAAAAAAUUUUUAAUUACCAAUUGUCCAAAUGCCGAAGAGUGGUGGAAAAUACGUUUGGACACCUAAAGGCUCGUUUUAGGAGAAUAGAGAAAGGAGUCGACAACCACAUCAAAAAUGUUCCUCUUAUAAUUAAAGCAGCCUGUACAUUGCAUAACUUUUUAAAUUGUCAUAAUGAUGUCAUCAAUCACAAAUGGAUAGAAGAACAAACCACUUACGAAAGUAAUGUACGCCUGGAACAGCCCGAGCAGCAACAGAUGCUGUAGCAGAUUUUGAAGCAGAACCUGAAACAAUUAGAAGAGCGAUUGCGAAUUCAUUUUACUCCGGAGUCGUCGAAAGUCCUGCAAGCUCAUCGCUUGAAAUGAAUUGGGAUUGGCUGCUCGUCGAAGGGUAGAUAGCAGCGCAACCAAUGUUGUCUUCUGGUUCCACAUCUUGAAUUAAAAUAAAAUAAUAAAUAAAAGAGCAGACAAAAGUUUCAUUUUUAUAUUACCUAUACUCUCUUGCAUGAGUUCUUUGAAAUUUACUGCCUUAUUACCACUGAGUAUUUCUUCCACCUCCUUGUUGUGGAUCCAAGAGGAAGGCGAACCACCAGUCAUACCCACCGCAUUCUUUUCUAAUCUAUAAAAUAAAAUAUAUAUUAUAAUGCUCUGCACUGUAGUUCAUCUGCCUUUUUGAAAAUUCCUUUUCCAAACGCGCAAAGAUAUGAACAUUCUUUUUCGCGCUUCGUAAUUCUUCUAUACUAUCUGCCCAGUGCAAUAGCAGCAAUUUCUCUGCAUCUACUGUCCAUCUGACACGGUUUUUCCUUUUCCUAAUUACAAUUUAAUAAAAUUAUUAUAUAUAAGUAUAUUUGAAUGCAUAAAAAAUAAAAAUAUAUAAAUUAAAAUUUA
rnacentral:lncRNA from 1 species